CACUCCUACGGGAGGCAGCAGUGGGGAAUUUUGGACAAUGGGCGAAAGCCUGAUCCAGCAAUGCCGCGUGAGUGAAGAAGGCCUUCGGGUUGUAAAGCUCUUUUGUCAGGGAAGAAACGGUGAGAGCUAAUAUCUUUUGCUAAUGACGGUACCUGAAGAAUAAGCACCGGCUAACUACGUGCCAGCAGCCGCGGUAAUACGUAGGGUGCAAGCGUUAAUCGGAAUUACUGGGCGUAAAGCGUGCGCAGGCGGUUUUGUAAGUCUGAUGUGAAAUCCCCGGGCUCAACCUGGGAAUUGCAUUGGAGACUGCAAGGCUAGAAUCUGGCAGAGGGGGGUAGAAUUCCACGUGUAGCAGUGAAAUGCGUAGAUAUGUGGAGGAACACCGAUGGCGAAGGCAGCCCCCUGGGUCAAGAUUGACGCUCAUGCACGAAAGCGUGGGGAGCAAACAGGAUUAGAUACCCUUGUAGUCCCAUGA
rnacentral:rRNA from 1 species